GAAGCGAGGAAUGUACAGGUUUUACAUUGAUGUUAAUUAUUAUUAUUUUUUUUUUAACUUGUGAACCACUUUUCUAUUAGAAAUAUUGCUCCAAUUUUCAAGUGUCGUACCUUUUCAAAAAUUACAUUUUAUUUGGGUGGUAAACUCUUGAUUUUUCAUGCUGUUUUCAUAACAAUUGGGUAAAACUUAAGAAAAAUAGAAAAUUUAAGAAAUGUAUUAUUUUUUGUUUUGAUUCAGUUAAAAAUAUUCUUAGAGACUUGAAAUUUGGACAGAAAACUUAUUUUUGCCUAUUCUAGUUGUGACAACAUUUUAUUUUAGCUAUUUUUUAGCGUUUUAUAGACAUUUUAAUUUUGCGAAUUUUUUACGCAAUUUGUAUUUGGUAGUGAAAUUUUGAUGAAAAUAGUAAAUUUAUGGCCUUAUAAAAUAUGUAUAACAGAACUCCUCUUAGAAUCGUUUAUCGUUAGCCAUGAUUAGUCGUUGUGUACAGAUAUAUAGGAGAUAUUAAUAUAGAGAAAUUUCCAUCUAUAUUCUACCUUCCCAAAUUCUCACCUACAACAGUGGCUCACCCGACAUGCGAAGUAUGGUAUUCUUUUUAUUUUGAAUUCCUAAAGUGACCCUUCUCUUACAGUCUUAGGUACUACUCGAGUGCAUCGAGGAAAACCAAUUUUUUUUAGAUAUUUAAUGUAAUAGAAUUUGUAUUCCUUAAAUUUAUUUUUCGAUAAAAUUAUUUAAGUUUUUAACAUUUAUUUUUAUCUAAAAAUUUUAAAUCAUUUAUCGAUGAAUAAAAAUAUAUUAUACAUACGUUAUCUACAAUUAAUUAUGUAUUCAAAUUUUGAUUGUAUUAUGUGAAGCGAAGAAGCUUAUGGUAUUACAAAGAUGUUUAUUAUUAUUUUUUUAUCUGUGAGUAACUUUUCUACUAGAAGAAUUGUUCAAAUUUUUAAAUGUAGCACCUUUUCUGAAAAGAAAUCGGUAUGAGGAUGUACUUUAAGGAGGUCAUUUUUCAAUUUUCUUAGGAGUUUUCUUAACAAAUAUGAAAAACCGAAAAAACUUGGGAAAACCGGGAAAAACGUAAGAAAAUUAGUAAAAUAUUUAACAAAUAUUAUUAAAGAAAAUAUAUAGAGCCUAUUUAAUUAUUUUACUAUAAUAUGACAUACAUAUUGUUGACAAAGCAUCACUAUCAUCUAAACUCUGUUCAGAAUCGUUUUUUCGUAAGCGAUGGU